UAACCUUACCGGUGGAUCACUCCGGUUCGUGGAUCGAUGAAGAACGCCACUAACUGCGAUAAUUUAUGCGAACCUGCAGAAACCUUGACAUAAAAAGUUUGAACGCCUAUUNGCGGCAUUGGGGUCAAACCCCUUUGGCACGUNUGGUUCANGGGCAUUU
rnacentral:rRNA from 1 species